GCCCCAGUGGCUCAGUCCGGCAGAGUAUCACCUUGGUAAGGUGGAGGUCGAGGGUUCAAAUCCCUCUUGGGGCU
rnacentral:tRNA from 1 species